rnacentral:rRNA from 1 species
GACGAACGCUGGCGGCGUGCUUAACACAUGCAAGUCGAACGGAAAGGCCCUGCUUUUGUGGGGUGCUCGAGUGGCGAACGGGUGAGUAACACGUGAGUAACCUGCCCUUGACUUUGGGAUAACUUCAGGAAACUGGGGCUAAUACCGGAUAGGAGCUCCUGCUGCAUGGUGGGGGUUGGAAAGUUUCGGCGGUUGGGGAUGGACUCGCGGCUUAUCAGCUUGUUGGUGGGGUAGUGGCUUACCAAGGCUUUGACGGGUAGCCGGCCUGAGAGGGUGACCGGCCACAUUGGGAAUGAGAUACGGCCCAGACUCCUACGGGAGGCAGCAGCGGGGAAUAUUGCACAAUGGGCGGAAGCCUGAUGCAGCAACGCCGCGUGCGGGAUGACGGCCUUCGGGUUGUAAACCGCUUUCGCCUGUGACGAAGCGUGAGUGACGGUAAUGGGUAAAGAAGCACCGGCUAACUACGU